UUAUGCUAAUAAGAGCGUAUGGUGGAUGCCUUGGCACUAAGAGCCGAUGAAAGACGUGAUAAGCUGCGAAAAGCUUCGGGGAGGAGCAAAUAUCCUAUGAUCCGGAGAUCUCUGAAUGGGGAAACCCACCUGAGCAAACCUCAGGUAUCCUAACGCCAAUACAUAACGUUAGGAGGGGAACCCGGUGAACUGAAACAUCUAAGUAGCCGGAGGAAGAGAAAACAACAUGUGAUUCUGGAAGUAGCGGCGAGCGAAACCGGAAGAGCCCAAACCGGAGUGCGUGCACUCCGGGGUUCGGACCGCGGAAUUGAUCCAAAAGACUUAACAGAACGGCCUGGGAAGGCCGGCCAGAGAGGGUGAAAGCCCCGUAAGUGAAAGGUCGAUUGGCAUGGCGGUAUCCAGAGUAGGUCGAGACACGUGGAACCUUGACUGAAUACGCGGGGACCACCCCGUAAGGCUAAAUACUCCUUAGUGACCGAUAGCGCAUAGUACUGUGAAGGAAAGGUGAAAAGGACCCCGGGAGGGGAGUGAAAAAGAACCUGAAACCAUAUGUUUACAAGCUGUGGAACCACUUUAAAUGUGGAACCGCGUACUUUUUGUAGAACGGUCCGGCGAGUUACGCUGGCUGGCGAGGUUAAGUCCUUAAGGGAUGGAGCCGAAGGGAAACCAAGUCUGAAUAGGGCGAAGAGUCAGUCGGAGUAGACCCGAAACCGGGUGACCUAUCCAUGUCCAGGAUGAAGUUGCCGUAAAAGGCAAUGGAGGUCCGAACCCACAUCCGUUGAAAAGGGUGGGGAUGAGGUGUGGAUAGGGGAGAAAUUCCAAUCGAACCCGGAGAUAGCUGGUUCUCCUCGAAAUAGCUUUAGGGCUAGCCUCAUACAAGUCUUGCGGAGGUAGAGCACUGAAUUUCCUAGGGGGCGUCAAAGCUUACCGAAGAAUAUCAAACUCCGAAUGCCGCGUAGAUGGUGUAUGGGAGUCAGACUGCACGAGAUAAGUUGGGUAGUCAAAAGGGAAAGAGCCCAGACCUGCAGCUAAGGUCCCAAAAUGUGUGUUAAGUGGAAAAGGAUGUGGGAUUUCGAAGACAACUAGGAUGUUGGCUCAGAAGCAGCCAUACAUUCAAAGAGUGCGUAAUAGCUCACUAGUCGAGAGGUCCUGCGCCGAAAAUGUCCGGGGCUGAAACACACUACCGAAGCUCAGGAAUGUACUUGUACAUUGGUAGAGGAGCAUUGUAUACGGGAAGAAGCAGUACCGAUAAGGAGCUGUGGACUGUAUAGAAGAGAGAAUGCCGGAAUGAGUAGCGAGAGGAAGGUGAGAAUCCUUCCGGCCGAAUAUCUAAGGUUUCCAGAGUAAAGCUGAUCUGCUCUGGGUAAGUCGGGGCCUAAGGCCAGGUCGAAAGACGUAACCGAUGGACAACAGGUUGAAAUUCCUGUACCGCGAUAUAACAGAACUGUGGGGACACGUGUGGAGAGCACAAGCCGGGAAUGGAAAGCCCGGCGCAAGCAAGGUAGGAGUCGUACCGGCAAAUCCGUACGGCAAUCCGAAGAUGUGAUGCGUACCGAAUUAAGAGUAGGGAAGAGUGUGAGCCAUGCGUCAAGAAAAGCCGCUAUUGUUUGUAUCGCGCCCGUACCGUAAACCGACACAGGUGGAUGAGGAGAGAAUCCUAAGGCCGACGGGAGAAGCAUUGUUAAGGAACUCGGCAAAAUGACUCCGUAACUUCGGGAGAAGGAGUGCCACUGAGAGGUGGCCGCAGAGAAUUGGCCCAAGCAACUGUUUAGCAAAAACACAGGUCUAUGCAAAACCGAAAGGUGAAGUAUAUGGGCUGACGCCUGCCCGGUGCUGGAAGGUUAAGGGGAGAGGUUAGCGCAAGCGAAGCUUUGAACUUAAGCCCCAGUAAACGGCGGCCGUAACUAUAACGGUCCUAAGGUAGCGAAAUUCCUUGUCGGGUAAGUUCCGACCCGCACGAAAGGCGUAAUGAUUUGGGCACUGUCUCAACAAUGCACCCGGUGAAAUUGAAAUACCAGUGAAGAUGCUGGUUACCUGCGCCAGGACGGAAAGACCCCAUGGAGCUUUACUCCAGCUUGAUACUGGGAUUCGGUAUUGCAUGUACAG
rnacentral:rRNA from 1 species